rfam:Asian citrus Psyllid, Diaphorina citri - Florida Strain, whole genome shotgun sequence.
AAAUGUGUCCGAAUAGUACUUUCAAUGUACCAGUUCCCAAUGGAUCACUGAAGUUAAGCAACGUUGAGCGUGGUUGGUAUCCUGAUGGGUGACCAUUUGUCAGUCUCGUGGCGCUGGUU